UCCCGUGUGAGAUAUAAGGUAUGUAAACUCUAUUCCAUGUCUUUCUCACACAUUUUAAUUAUCAGUUUUGUGAUCUUCUUUCAGUAUGGUUGUCACUCCAGAGUCCAGACCUUGAUUGAUCAAAAAAUUAUUGGGAUGAAAUUAAUGAUUGUGAGUAUUAUAGGAUGCUUUGGUAAUAGAAAUAUAAUCUCACUAUUAAAAGCUUGUCCUUUGUAAGGAAACCGGUAAUAUUAAUAGACAUACAACUAAUAUGAUACGGAUUGCUACUGGUUCAACCACUAUCUCAUUUGUUGUCUAUAACUAGUUACCGUGGAUGCUUAUUAGAUGUGUUGUUUUGUUUCACAAUAAUAGGAUUAUGAUAAUUAUUUCACUACUAUCUUAAAUAGCCAAUUCGAUCUUUAGACUUAAUCUUGAUGAAGACAAUUAAACUUCAAAGUCAUGAAUUUGGGAAGGGGGAGAAGAUUUUUCCUCUUUCUCCAGUUUGAUUUUGGUAGGGUUCUUGCUCAUCAUGGUUUGAAAAUAUUUUAAAAAUUAAAAUUAAUACAAGUUCUUAAAUUUGAGGAACUUGAGGAAUUUGCUCAACUAAGAUCUUAUUUGUCUUAAUCAUGAAUUUUAUAUUUAUUUGGCAAAAGCUUUAAGGAAAAAAUGCCAAAGUGUUUAGCUGUUGUAGAUAUAUUUGAAAAUUUAAAAACCAUACAUUAGAAAUACUUUGUUCAUUAGAGCUCGAAGGAUAGUUUAGAAAUUUAACAAAAAUGUAAGGGUAAUAUUUUCUAAAAGAAUUGCUGAACAGUUCAAACACUGUAGGUCACUUUCACAUAUAAUUCUGAUUCUUCUCACUGUGUCACCACCUUCUUCAAGGAUGUACAACGAGCUUUUGGC
rnacentral:misc_RNA from 1 species